GUGGGGAAUAUUGGACAAUGGGCGAAAGCCUGAUCCAGCCAUGCCGCGUGUGUGAAGAAGGUCUUCGGAUUGUAAAGCACUUUAAGUUGGGAGGAAGGGCAGUAAGUUAAUACCUUGCUGUUUUGACGUUACCGACAGAAUAAGCACCGGCUAACUUCGUGCCAGCAGCCGCGGUAAUACGAAGGGUGCAAGCGUUAAUCGGAAUUACUGGGCGUAAAGCGCGCGUAGGUGGUUUUGUAAGUUGGAGGUGAAAUCCCCGGGCUCAACCUGGGAACUGCCUCCAAAACUGGAUGACUAGAGUACGGUAGAGGGUAGUGGAAUUUCCUGUGUAGCGGUGAAUUGCGUAGAUAUAGGAAGGAACACCAGUGGCGAAGGCGACUACCUGGACUGAUACUGACACUGAGGUGCGAAAGCGUGGGGAGCAAACAGGAUUAGAAACCCGGGUAGUCC
rnacentral:rRNA from 1 species